rnacentral:rRNA from 1 species
UUUUUAAUAUAUUUUUUCUGCGCGCCGGGAACAUGGCGCACGUGCGCAUUAAAUAUUACACAUGGUUUCGAAAAUUUUGACGUCUCCGGUAAGUUUUAGCUUGUGGCUCAUUAAUCACGCGUCUAAGGACGGAUAAGUAGUGUUGGCGAAGGUACCGCGUUCAGAAAGGGGUGUAAACCGUGGUGAAACUCGUGUUGGUGCGGUAGAAAGGGUGUGUGUGGAAACGAUGGUAAACUAGUCUCCGUCGUUAAGCGACAGAGUAAGUAGUGCAGUGGAGUAUCCGUUAUUAGGCAGUGCUGACAAAGAAGGUAGGGUCGGGUUUAUAGUGGAGCUGGGAGGGGCGAGCAUAAGGGGCGAAGUUGGGGAAACAUGUCGGAUGCGAUCAAAGCAGCACUAAAGCACCGGAUCCCAUCAGAACUCCGAAGUUGCAUUCCC